AAUCCUGGGUCAAGGUGACCUUUAGGAACACGGGACUUAUGAACUAUUGGAAAGCUUAAUAAAUAGAGUCUCAAACAACCCCACAGACAACAAAGAAUAAAUGAAUUAGAUACCUUUUUUGGCAUAAAUCAACGAGUUACAAGGUAGAGUUAUUCACUCUCUGAGCAAUCCACAACAAUUUACACUCCCGAUAAUACAGUUUUUAAACUCUCUGUGAAUAUUACCAGCGGAUACAAGUUCCAGUUCCAUCUUCAAGUGUGAUCUUUGCGUCCAUCAAUACGUCUUCGUAUCGCUACAAACAAGUGUCACAAUGGUUGAGAUUACUAGUAAUACGAAAAAAAUAUUGAUCAUAAUCGCCUGUUUAAUGCUAUUUCUCAGCUCUAUCCAAUUGAUAUACUCUAUUGCUCAUGAAGAUGGUGAACAAAUUGGUUGGACUGUAAUCAAUUUAUUAGCUGAUCUGUGUUUUGUGAUUGUCAUCCUAAAGCAAUGGGAGUUAGGCCUAAAAAUUUAUCGAGUUGCGAUGCAAGCAUUCGUUGUUUUGUCCAUAAUUGCUCUCAUAUUUUGUAUUUACAUAAUUGCCUCUGGAGAUGAACGUCAUAAGCAAGAUAUAGCUGAGAAAACUGUCUCCGUCAUCAUUGGUGCUGUUCUUUAUUCAAUGUUGGCAUACCUUCUAAACAGGUAUCUUCACCAAAUUGAAUAUAACGAAGGAUACACAAUUGCUUAAACCAAAUGACCUUCCAAGACCAAUACCAAUGUAAAAUUUUUUCACUAAUGACCCAAUCUCAAACUCAAACGUAAUAACCGUUUUCAUCUCAUUGAGCAACGAUUUCAAAACAAUUUUCUCAUCCAUCGUACCAAUCACUAUCAUUAAAUUGCAUUUAUGAUAGCAAAACUCUAAUGACUCAUGGUGAUUAAUUCAAGUUAUAUCAUCAACAACGAAUUUCUCAUUUUCCAAUCAAUGUACUUAUCAACAAAAAACAUCGUAACCAUUUUCACAGUGACUGGGUUAUUUUAUGAACAACCAUUAAUUUAUUUUGCUGUUGUUGACUGAAGCUGACGAUGUUGAUUGGACACCACAAAUGUAUGCUAUAUGAUGCACCAUAGAUUCAUCGUCUAAUCUGUCAAUUCAUAAACAAAACUCAGCUCAAUGAAAUCAUUUGGUGACGAUUACAUCAAAAAUCAGCGCUGCAAUUUGUCGUUGAAGCAGUACAUAAAGAGUGGAAACCAUUUAUUCUGUAUUUCUUACUCAUCUCAUGGUGUCACAAUGAUUCUUUAAAUUACUUGUCAAGCCAAUUGAUCCUUAAAAAUUCCAGGAGGAACUUUUAUACUCGAAUUAAACCAUACUUUUCAUCUGGAGCUGUUAAUCUUGGCACCAAUUUGCCUACCAAUUUGAUAUUGAAAUCUCUCUAUUUUUGACCCAAUGAAACGACAACCAAAUAUUUCUAUUUAUUUAUGUUAUAUGGAUUUCAUUUUGAUGUAAUAUACUAAAGUCAGUUAAAAGGUGUUAAGCCAAAAAUAAAAUGAAUGUGAUAAACAGCUGAA